rnacentral:rRNA from 1 species
GAUGAACGCUGGCGGCGUGCCUAAUACAUGCAAGUCGAGCGAACAGACGAGGAGCUUGCUCCUCUGACGUUAGCGGCGGACGGGUGAGUAACACGUGGAUAACCUACCUAUAAGACUGGGAUAACUUCGGGAAACCGGAGCUAAUACCGGAUAAUAUAUUGAACCGCAUGGUUCAAUAGUGAAAGACGGUUUUGCUGUCACUUAUAGAUGGAUCCGCGCCGCAUUAGCUAGUUGGUAAGGUAACGGCUUACCAAGGCAACGAUGCGUAGCCGACCUGAGAGGGUGAUCGGCCACACUGGAACUGAGACACGGUCCAGACUCCUACGGGAGGCAGCGGUAGGGAAUCUUCCGCAAUGGGCGAAAGCCUGACGGAGCAACGCCGCGUGAGGGAUGAAGGUCUUCGGAUCGUAAAACUCUGUUAUUAGGGAAGAACAAAUGUGUAAGUAACUAUGCACGUCUUGACGGUACCUAAUCAGAAAGCCACGGCUAACUACGUG